UACGUAGGGGGCGAGCGUUGUCCGGAAUCAUUGGGCGUAAAGCGCGUGUAGGCGGUCCGGUAAGUCCGCUGUGAAAGUCGGGGGCUUAACCCUCGGAUGCCGGUGGAUACUGUCGGGCUUGAGUACGGAAGAGGCGAGUGGAAUUCCUGGUGUAGCGGUGAAAUGCGCAGAUAUCAGGAGGAACACCAAUUGCGAAGGCAGCUCGCUGGGACGUUACUGACGCUGAGACGCGAAAGCGUGGGGAGCAAACAGG
rnacentral:rRNA from 1 species